CCGAGCGCGCGGCGACGGCGGGCGCCAGGGCGGCUACGUGCGCCGCGCGCGCGCCUCGCCCUCCGCGCUGGUGAUGGCGAUUUGGCGUUUUCUCUCUGCUCAGUGUCAGGUGGAGCCCGAGUUGUCACUGAGAUGUCUUCACGGGGAGGCGAGGGCAAGCAGCCACGAAUCACAAGACAUGUGAGUGAGCACAGCCCGGAUCACCAAAUCUGUCUGCUUGAUCUGCUGCUGAGUGCAGAUGCAUAAGCAAGUCCAGCUGAAGUCAGCCAAGCCCAGCCCAAGUAGGGGAACUCACUUUCCUAAAUUAGAUGGCCUGAAAAGUCAAGUCAGCAAACAAAAGGUUGCUUCAAGAUUGGGAAUCACAACAGAGAAGGUUGGCUAAUUUGAACCCGUUUUAUCUGGACCAAGAUGAAGACUUAUGAUCCACAAUGCUGCCCAAAAGAACACCUGAAUUUGAACUAGAUUCAGCAUUCUCUAGACAGCAUUACAUAAUCCUCAGACUACCUUUUUAAGCUUCUGAUUGACUACCCUUUUUCUGUUCAC